GUGCUCACUUCAGCAGCACACAUACUAAAAUUAGAACGAUACAGAGAAGAUUAGCAUGGCCCCUGCGCAAAACAAAAAUGUCAUUAACUUUGCUGCUUUGAU